rnacentral:rRNA from 1 species
UACGAAGGGGACUAGCGUUGUUCGGAAUCACUGGGCGUAAAGCGCACGUAGGCGGAUAUGUCAGUCAGGGGUGAAAUCCCGGGGCUCAACCUCGGAACUGCCUUUGAUACAGCAUAUCUUGAGUCCGAUAGAGGUGGGUGGAAUUCCUAGUGUAGAGGUGAAAUUCGUAGAUAUUAGGAAGAACACCGGUGGCGAAGGCGGCUCACUGGCCCGAUACUGACGCUGAGGCACGAAAGCGUGGGGAGCAAACAGG